CAUCUAAGCGUGAAGCCGCCUCCAAGAUAAGAUAUCCCAUAGCAUAAGCUAGUAAGACCCCUCAUGGACUAAGAGGUUGAUAGGCUGCAUGUGUAAGCGUGGUGACACGUUUAGCUUGGCAGUACUAAUAGGUCGAGGGCUUGACUUUGUUU
rnacentral:rRNA from 1 species